rnacentral:rRNA from 1 species
GACGAACGCUGGCGGCGUGCUUAACACAUGCAAGUCGAACGGAAAGGCCCUGCGUUUGUGGGGUGCUCGAGUGGCGAACGGGUGAGUAACACGUGAGUAACCUGCCCUUGACUUUGGGAUAACUUCAGGAAACUGGGGCUAAUACCGGAUAGGAGCUCCUGCUGCAUGGUGGGGGUUGGAAAGUUUCGGCGGUUGGGGAUGGACUCGCGGCUUAUGAGCUUGUUGGUGGGGUAGUGGCUUACCAAGGCUUUGACGGGUAGCCGGCCCGAGAGGGUGACCGGCCACAUUGGGACUACGAUACGGCCCAGACUCCUACGGGAGGCAGCAGUGGGGAAUAUUGCACAAUGGGCGGAAGCCUGAGGCAGCAACGCUGCGUGCGGGAUGACGGCCUUCGGGUUGUAAACCGCUUUCGCCUGUGACGAAGCGUGAGUGACGGUAAUGGGUAAAGAAGCACCGGCUAACUACGUG